UACCAGCACCCCGAGUGGUCGGGACGUUUAUUGGGCCUAAAGCAUCCGUAGCCGGUUCUACAAGUCUUCCGUUAAAUCCAACUGCUUAACAGGUGGGCUGCGGAAGAUACUAUAGAGCUAGGAGGCGGGAGAGGCAAGCGGUACUCGAUGGGUAGGGGUAAAAUCCGUUGAUCCAUUGAAGACCACCAGUGGCGAAGGCGGCUUGCCAGAACGCGCUCGACGGUGAGGGAUGAAAGCUUGGGGGAGCAACCGG
rnacentral:rRNA from 1 species